rnacentral:rRNA from 1 species
UACGGAGGGUGCAAACGUUGCUCGGAAUUAUUGGGCGUAAAGCGCACGUAGGCGGUUUGCUACGUCGGAUGUGAAAGCCUCGGGCUCAACCCGAGAAGGGCAUCCGAAACUGGCAGGCUUGAGUACGGAAGAGGGUCUCGGAAUUCCCGGUGUAGAGGUAAAAUUCGUAGAUAUCGGGAGGAACACCAGUGGCGAAGGCGGAGACCUGGGCCGAUACUGACGCUGAGGUGCGAAAGCGUGGAGAGCAAACAGG